GAUGAAGAACGCAGCAAAAUGCGAUAAGUGAUGUGAAUUGCAGAAUUCAGUGAAUCAUCGAAUCUUUGAACGCACAUUGCGCCCGCCAGUAUUCUGGCGGGCAUGCCUGUUCGAUCGUCAUUUCAACCCUCAAGCCCUCGGGUUUGGUGUUGGGGAUCGGCGAGCCUUUCUGGCAAGCCGGCCCCGAAAUCUAGUGGCGGUCUCGCUGCAGCCUCCAUUGCGUAGUAGUAAAACCCUCGCAACUGGAACGCGGCGCGGCCAAGCCGUUAAACCCCCAACUUCUGAAUGUUGACCUCGGAUCAGGUAGGAAUACCCGCUGAACUUAAGCAUAUCAAUAAGCGGAGGA
rnacentral:misc_RNA from 1 species